ensembl:lncRNA
UUUUUUGGAUGAGAGAUUAUUUGAAUGUGUUAAUGUUUUGAACUUAGUUACCAGCAGUCUCUAAAUUCUGUUGUACUACAGGCAUUAAUAAAUGUCCAACAUUUAUUAAAACAAAAUGUUUUAAAUAACUGUCCUGCUCAAAGCACAAAUUAAAUGAAAAAGAGAUUAUAAAAUUGUCAAGGUUGUGAGCUCUAUUUUUCUGUUAUAUGCAUAAGUAUUUUGGGGUUGCAAUAUUUAACACAUUUGACACAUGCUUAAUUAUGCAAAGCACCUUAAAGUACAUGGACCUGAAAACCAUUUUCUGUUAAAAAAAAAAAAAAAACUGGUAAAAAGAGAUAAUGAAUCAAACAAUUUUGUGUUCUUUUUUCAAAAGUUGUGCACUCUACAAAACACAGGAAUUAAAACUAGAAAUUUGAAUGAGACACUGUGGAAGAAGGUUCAGAGAGUAGAGGCUGUGGACAGACAAUGACUUUAGAGACGGACAUCUGCUCAAGGACAGAACCUCAUCACACAUCCAGACUUCAGAUGACAGAGACUCAGAGCAGGAUGUGGACUGGGAAGCACUCACUAUCCAGAUGCUCCUCAAGGGGAGCUGGAGAAUCCGUUUCCAAUUCCGCUUAACCAAUCAAGCAUUAAAAUAAAUGCUGCUUGAGUCCAGAAACAACAAAAAUCCUUAUAAUAAUAAUGUUUUAUUUUUAUAGCGCCUUUCAAGAACCCAAGGACGCUUUGCUAAAUAAUACAAGCAUUUGGCAAACAAAAUACACCAGACAAUCAUAGGGGAAAUUCAGACAAAACAAGUGCUGACAACAAAGAACUACAGAUUAUUAACAAGAGGUCAUGAAAUCAUAUGAUGAACACCAAUUAUGUCAAGAAGGUGGUCAUGUGUCAUACAGACAGAAGUUGAGAAAUUGAGAAUCAGAGAGGUAAAUAAGUUAUUUAGAGAACAAAGUGAAUAGAUGAGUUUUAAGUAGAGACUUAAAGGUCUUGAGAGAGGAGGCAGCACGAAUAUUAUGGGGCAGCUUAUUCCAUAGCUUAGGGCCUUUAAUACAGAAAGCCCUACCGCCCACCGUAGAGUGUUUAUACUUGGGCACAAACAAGUUAUCGUUGCUAGAUCUGAGAGUCCGUGCAGGAAUGUAUGGUUGCACUAACUCACGUGCGAGGCUGUGACUGGCCUUAUGAACUAAAACUGAGUUUAAAUUUGAUACGUUUGGUCACAGGAAGCCAGUGAAGGAUGGAAGUGAUAUGUGUAGAUUUUUUGUUAAAUGUAAGGGCUCGAGCAGCAGAGUUUUGUACCAUAUGGAGGCGAUUAAUAACUUUGUAUAACUGGCAGGUAAGCCGCUAUACAAGGAGUUACAGCAAUCCAAUCUGGAGGUUAUAAAAGCAUGGAUAAUAGUUUCAGCAUCUCAUUGUUUAACUGUGAACAAACAUGGUACACAUUCAUUUAACUAAAUAAAAACAAAUACACAAUCUCAUUUACCUAAAUUAAAGUAUCUUGGAAGUCCUUUUGUUCUGUAUUUUAUGUUUACACUUUGACAAUGUGCUUUUAAGUUCAACACAACAUUUAAUCGGUUUUACCUCAUCAUUUGAGAGCUGAUCAUGUGCAUUUAGCUAAAUUUGGCAGAUCCAUGUUUCUCUGCAGGUCAUGAAAAAAUAUUUGAUUUGUUGUAAAAUACAUAAAAUUUUAAUCUAGGUCUGACCAUCUUGUCUUAAUUCAUGGAUGCUGAUACAUUUGUUGACCACAGGAGGGAGCAGAUGACUUUGAGCCUGCUGGAACUGUAGAAACUGAAAUGUAGUUUUCCAUCCACUGGGUGACACAUUUUUCUGUACUACCCCAGAUAUGGCAGCUUGUUACAGCUUUGCAUGUUAACAUAAAGCUCCACAUGUAAAACCUUACACCACUAAGCCUGAAACUUAGGUUUUUCAAAAUUUUGUGAUACUGGUUUUACUAGUUUUUUUUGUAAUGCAGUUGUAUAAGCUUUGUCAGUUUCGUGAACAUGAAUCACUUCACAUGGUGAGCAGCUGCAUUAGCCAUUUUUUAUAGAUUCACAAUGAUAAUUUCAUUUGAACAAACCCAAAACAGACAAAUAUACAUUGUCUAAAAACAGAGAUUGGAUUCAGGAAAAAUAAAAAAGUUUUAAUUGAAUUUCUUUGACUUACACAUGCAUAAAACAGUACAUAGUACAUGGUAUUCACUGAUAUGGUUAUGGUAGAACAAUAUCAAGAUUUUGCAAGCAAAAUUUAAAAUUUUCCCUCCCAAUAAAAUUAUGUAAACCUCCAAGUAGAAAAGGAUGAAAACAUGCAGCAAACGGUCACAUAAAAAUAUAGGGUAGAGUAUAAAAGACAUUAAAAAUCAAAAAGAACUAACUGCUGUGAUUUGUGGUCUUUGGUUUUCAGCUUGGUGCAAACACUUAUAAAUAUGGUUUCAGUUACUGUAUAUACUGCAGAUCCUAAAUGAAUAAAUAGCAUUUCAUUGAAUUAAAAUACUAUUACAUUUACUGUGUAAUUCUUUUGAGUUUCACUGUGAGUGGAGCUUAUUGCUUUCAUACUAAAAUCACAGUAACUUUCAACUUUUCAAAUUUCACAGCUACA